rnacentral:rRNA from 1 species
GUGCUAGGUGGGCAGUUUGACUGGGGCGGUCGCCUCCAAAAGAGUAACGGAGGCGUUCAAAGGUUCCCUCAGGCUGGAUGGAAAUCAGCCGGAGAGUGCAAACGCAAAAGGGAGCUUGACUGCGAGACUGACGGGUCGAGCAGGCACGAAAGUGGGAGUUAGUGAUCCGGCGGUGCUGAAUGGAAAGGCCGUCGCUCAACGGAUAAAAGCUACCCCGGGGAUAACAGGCUGAUACUUCCCAAGAGUCCAUAUCGACGGAAGUGUUUGGCACCUCGAUGUCGGCUCGUCUCAUCCUGGGGCUGGAGAAGGUCCCAAGGGUUGGGCUGUUCGCCCAUUAAAGAGGCACGCGAGCUGGGUUCAGAACGUCGUGAGACAGUUCGGUCCCUAUCCACUGCAGGCGUUAGAAUAUUGAAGGGAUCUGUCCUUAGUACGAGAGGACCGGGAUGGACGGACCAC